UUUCUACCAGAAAGUAGAAAUUUGCAGAUUGUAGGUUUGGCUGCAAUCUGUUGGGCGAUUUGGAAGCUUAGAAAUAGGGCAUGUUUUGAAUUAAAACUUGUUAGACAUCUUGUUUAGUUCAUAUAUUAUGUCUACUCCUUCAUGAACUAUUAGGCAAAUGUACAAAAUGAUGUUGAUCGUUCCAUCUUGGAGCAAGGACGUGAUGCUUUGCAAAGGACAGUGUUGGCGCAACAUGGUGUGUCGCUUUAA
rnacentral:rRNA from 1 species